rnacentral:rRNA from 1 species
CAGCAGCCACGGGAAUACGUAGGGUGCGAGCGUUAAUCGGAAUUACUGGGCGUAAAGCGUGCGCAGGCGGUUUUGUAAGACAGGCGUGAAAUCCCCGGGCUCAACCUGGGAAUGGCGCUUGUGACUGCAAAGCUAGAGUGCGGCAGAGGGGGAUGGAAUUCCGCGUGUAGCAGUGAAAUGCGUAGAUAUGCGGAGGAACACCGAUGGCGAAGGCAAUCCCCUGGGCCUGCACUGACGCUCAUGCACGAAAGCGUGGGGAGCAAACAGGAUUAGAGACCCCCGUAGUCCCUGUCUCUUAUAC